UGGCGGACGGGUGAGUAACGCGUGGAAAACCUGCCGUAUACUGGGGGAUAACACUUAGAAAUAGGUGCUAAUACCGCAUAAGGCGCACAGCUUCGCAUGAAGCGGUGUGAAAAACUCUGGUGGUAUACGAUGGUUCCGCGUCUGAUUAGCUAGUUGGUGGGGUAAUGGCCUACCAAGGCAACGAUCAGUAGCCGGCCUGAGAGGGUGAACGGCCACAUUGGGACUGAGACACGGCCCAAACUCCUACGGAAGGCAGCAG
rnacentral:rRNA from 1 species